rnacentral:tRNA from 1 species
GAAGUUUUAGUUAAAUAUAUAACAUUAUCCUGUCAAAAUAAAGUUAUCUAAUUAUAUAUAGAUAUACUUCU